GUGGCGAACGGGUGAGUAACACGUGAGCAAUCUGCCCUUNACUCUGGGAUAACUGCGGGAAACUGUAGCUAAUACCGGAUACUUUCCUCGCUGGGCAUCCAGCGGGGAAGAAAGAAUUUCGGUCAAGGAUGAGCUCGCGGCCUAUCAGCUAGUUGGUGAGGUAAUGGCUCACCAAGGCGACGACGGGUAGCCGGCCUGAGAGGGUGACCGGCCACACUGGAACUGAGACACGGUCCAGACUCCUACGGGAGGCAGCAGUGGGGAAUAUUGCACAAUGGGCGAAAGCCUGAUGCAGCAACGCCGCGUGAGGGAUGAAGGCCUUCGGGUUGUAAACCUCUUUUAGCAGGGAAGAAGCGAAAGUGACGGUACCUGCAGAAAAAGCACCGGCUAACUACGUGCCAGCAGCCGCGGUAAUACGUAGGGUGCAAGCGUUGUCCGGAAUUAUUGGGCGUAAAGAGCUCGUAGGCGGUUUGUCACGUCUGCUGUGAAAAUCCGAGGCUCAACCUCGGACUUGCAGUGGGUACGGGCAGGCUAGAGUGCGGUAGGGGAGAAGGGAAUUCCUGGUGUAGCGGUGGAAUGCGCAGAUAUCAGGAGGAACACCAAUGGCGAAGGCACUUCUCUGGGCCGUAACUGACGCUGAGGAGCGAAAGCGUGGGGAGCGAACAGGAUUAGAUACCCUGGUAGUCCAC
rnacentral:rRNA from 1 species